UCGGGGUGUAGCGCAGCUUGGCAGCGCGCAUGGUUCGGGACCAUGAAGCCGGAGGUUCAAAUCCUCUCACUCCGACCAU
rnacentral:tRNA from 1 species